UACGUAGGGUGCAAGCGUUAAUCGGAAUUACUGGGCGUAAAGCGUGCGCAGGCGGUGAUGUAAGACAGGUGUGAAAUCCCCGGGCUUAACCUGGGAACUGCAUUUGUGACUGCAUCGCUGGAGUGCGGCAGAGGGGGAUGGAAUUCCGCGUGUAGCAGUGAAAUGCGUAGAUAUGCGGAGGAACACCGAUGGCGAAGGCAAUCCCCUGGGCCGAUACUGACGCUCAUGCACGAAAGCGUGGGGAGCAAACAGG
rnacentral:rRNA from 1 species